CUACGGGACGCACCAGUGGGGUAUAUUGGACAAUGGGGGAAACUCUGAUGCAGCAACGCCGCGUGGAGGAUGACACUUUUCGGAGCGUAAACCCCUUUUAUAUAGGAAGAAGAUGACGGUACUAUAUGAAUAAGCGCCGGCUAACUCCGUGCCAGCAGCCGCGGUAAUACGGAGGGCGCAAGCGUUACUCGGAAUCACUGGGCGUAAAGAGCGUGUAGGCGGAUUAAAAAGUCAGAAGUGAAAUCCUAUAGCUUAACUAUAGAACUGCUUCUGAAACUCUUAAUCUAGAAUAUGGGAGAGGUAGAUGGAAUUUCUGGUGUAGGGGUAAAAUCCGUAGAGAUCAGAAGGAAUACCGAUUGCGAAGGCGAUCUACUAGAACAUUAUUGACGCUGAGACGCGAAAGCGUGGGGAGCAAACAGGAUUAGAUACCCUCGUAGUC
rnacentral:rRNA from 1 species